CACAGACAUUCAAGCAGUGCGAUGCGCUGAGAGUCUGCCAUGCAGACCAGCGAUCCUGAUAAUGUUGUCGGCCUUGGAUGAUGAGGUCCAGUUACCAGGAGCAGUAGUCCGCAGCUUACUGGUUCCGUCCUGCAGCUCCUCCACGCUGUCCUCCUCUCUACAGACCAAAUCAAGAAAAGGGAACCAGGAAGCUGCUGUGGAUCCUCUGCAGUAUCUGGAGAGGUCAGAGGAACGGUUCUUGGAACAGAUCGGAAGACACCAAGACGUGACCGCUGCCAUGCUCCAGAACAUCCAGAAGAUGAAUGAAAACCUUGGUUGCACUGAUGGGACGCAUGGUGUCGGUGCUGGAGCAACUGUCCCAGAAUUAAACUGCAUUGUUGACUAUUGGCUUUUCUAGAAAAUAAAUCUUUUUUAGUACUUCACCUGUUUUGUAUUUUACCCAUGCACUUUGGGUGAAUAAACAGAAAUUUGUGAUGAGAGAUGCAAA